rnacentral:misc_RNA from 1 species
GAUGAAGAACGUAGCGAAAUGCGAUACGUAAUGUGAAUUGCAGAAUUCAGUGAAUCAUCGAGUCUUUGAACGCACAUUGCGCCCCCUGGUAUUCCGGGGGGCAUGCCUGUCCGAGCGUCAUUGCUGCCCUCAAGCCCGGCUUGUGUGUUGGGUCUCGUCCCCCUUCCCGGGGGGACGGGCCCGAAAGGCAGCGGCGGCACCGCGUCCGGUCCUCGAGCGUAUGGGGCUUUGUCACCCGCUCUGUAGGCCCGGCCGGCGCUUGCCGAUCAACCAAAACUUUUUUCCAGGUUGACCUCGGAUCACGUAGGGAUACCCGCUGAACUUAAGCAUAUCAAUAAGCGGAGGA